rnacentral:rRNA from 1 species
CUACGGGAGGCAGCAGUAGGGAAUUUUCGACAAUGGGGGGAACCCUGAUCGAGCAAUGCCGCGUGAAUGAAGAAGGUCUUCGGACUGUAAAGUUCUUUUAUUGGAGAAGAAUGGUCGCGCCAGGAAAUGGGUGUGAUUUGACGGUAUCCAUUGAAUAAGCCCCGGCUAACUACGUGCCAGCAGCCGCGGUAAUACGUAGGGGGCGAGCGUUAUCCGGAAUUAUUGGGCGUAAAGCGUGCGUAGGCGGUUUGUUAAGUCACUUGUAAAAGAUCUCAGCCCAACUGAGUAGGGCGAGUGAAACUGGCAGACUUGAAUACGGUAGAGGUAAGCGGAAUUCCAUGUGUAGCGGUGGAAUGCGUAGAUAUAUGGAGGAACACCAAUGGCGAAGGCAGCUUACUGGGCCGGAAUUGACGCUGAGGCACGAAAGCGUGGGGAGCAAACAGGAUUAGAUACCCGCGUAGUC